GAUGAAGAACGUAGCGAAAUGCGAUACUUGGUGUGAAUUGCAGAAUCCCGUGAACCAUCGAGUCUUUGAACGCAAGUUGCGCCCGAAGCCAUUAGGCCGAGGGCACGCCUGCCUGGGCGUCACACGUCGUUGCCCCCCCCCAUCUACUCCUUCGGGAUUGCGGGGGGCGGAUGAUGGCCUCCCGUGCGCCUCGCCGCGCGGUUGGCAUAAAUGCCAAGUCCUCGGCGACGCACGCCACGACAAUCGGUGGUUGCGAAACCUCGGUUGCCCGUCGUGUGCGGUCGUCGCGCAUCGAGGGCUCGAAAAAAUUGCCGGGCUCCGGCUCGGCUUUCAACGCGACCCCAGGUCAGGCGGGGUUACCCGCUGAAUUUAAGCAUAUCAAUAAGCGGAGGA
rnacentral:misc_RNA from 1 species